UGAGUCCGGUGAGCACCGGACGGUCAGGUGGCUCGCGUCCGGUGACCCUGCGAGUUUGCGGAGCUCUCUGCGCAUGAGUCCGGUGUGUUGCUCAGCGUCUGGUGCACUGCAGGUGACCGUUAGACUCUGACACGAGCGUUUCAAAAGGCGACACGUGGCUGACGUUGGAGCACCGGACGCAGGUGCUGAGCGUCCGGUGCCCCUUUAAGAGCGUCCGGUGACCCCACAGUUUGCCCAAUGAAAGAGCCAACGGCUCUAUUUGUUUGAAGGGCUAUAAAUACGUGUUUGGCCGGCUUGGGGCUCACCCUCUUGGCAUUCUAACAUACUUGACAUCCUUGUGAGCCUAAGCAAACACCUCCCACUCAUCUCCUUCAUAGAUUAUACAUCUUUGUGAGAUUGGGAGUGAUUCCAAGUGCAUUUGCUUGAGUGAUUGCAUUUAGUGGCACUUGGGGAUCGUUUUGGCUGCGGUUUUCUUGUUACUCUUGGUGGUUGCCGCCACCUAGAUGGCUUGGAGCAGCGGAGGAGCAUUGGCACGAGUUGGUGAUUGUUCGUGGCCAUCUCCCGGUGAUUGUGAGGGGUCUUGUACCUUCUCCGGCGGAGAGCCGAAAGGUAACUCUAGUGGAUUGCUCGUGUCAUUGAGCUACCUCAUUUGUGGGUAGGUUCUUGUGGUGUCCUAGUAAGGACGAGGUUCGUGCUACAGCUCUUAGCCACCGAACCACCAAGUGUUGGUCGACACAACGGGGACGUAGCGUGCCGGCAAACACGUGAACCUCGGGAGAAAAAUCUUGUGUCUUCGUUGUGUUUGUUGAUUGGAUUUCUCCCGGUGAUUGGACUUCAUAAUUUUGUGAUUGGUUCAUCCCCUCUACGUGGUGGUAUAAAUAUCAAACUCUCUCUCUUACUUUCUUGCAAACUAGAGUAGCUUACUUCUUGUAUAGAAAGUUUAGGUAGCUCUCUAGUGUAAGUAGAGACUUAGUUCUUGUGUGCAUAGUGAUCAUAGCAACUAGAAUUGUUGGGUAGGUGGCUUGCAAACACCCCGUUAGAGCUAGAGCAAAAAGCUUCGCUUUGUUAUUUACUAACAUCUUGCUCUAGUGUUUUGUAGAAUUUUUUUUAAAUAGGCUAUUCACCCCCCUCUAGCCAUAUUAGCACCUUUCACCGGUGGGCCGCCUGCCCAGCUGGGCCGACCCACUAGCGGCCAUUUUUUUUCUUAUUUUUUAUUUUUCUUAUAUGAUGUAUAUGAUGUAUAAUUGUUCUAAAUAAUUAUUAAUUGUCCUAAAUAAUAAAUAUGACGUAUUAUUAAUUAUUAAUUGUCCUAAAUAUUUAUUAAUUGUUCUAAAUAAUUAUUAAUUAUUAAUUGUCCUAAAUAAAUGUAUAUGAUGUUUUAUUUUUCUUAUAAUUAUUAAUUGUCCUAAAUAUUUAUUAAUUAUUCUAAAUAAUUAUUAAUUAUUAAUUGUCCUAAAUAAAUGUAUAUGAUGUUUUAUUUUUCUUAUAAUUAUUAAUUGUCCUAAAUAAUUAUUAAUUGUCCUAAAUAAUUGUCCUAAAUAAAUUAUUAAUUAUUCUAUAAGGCAAUUAUUUAUAACGCAAUUAUUUACAAUGCAAUUAUAUAUAUAAGUAUGUAUAAAAAUAAUAAACAAUUAAUAUUUACUUUUAGUUUAAGUGUCUAUGUAUAUACAUUAUGCAUAUGCUAAGUAGUUAUUAUUUAUUUUUUAUAAUGCAAUUAUUUACAAUGCAAUUAUAUAUAUGUAUGUAUAAAAAUAAUAAACAAUUAAUAUUUGCUUUUAGUUUAAGUGUUGG
rnacentral:lncRNA from 1 species